GUUGAUCCUGCCGGACCCCACUGCUUUCGGGAUGGGUCUUACCAAUGCAAGUCGAGCGGCCUGGGGCAACAGGCACGCGGCACACGGCUCAGUAACGCGUGGUUAACCUGCCCGGAGGACGGGGAUAACCGCGGGAAACUGCGCUAAUCCCCGGCAAGUGAGGCGUUCUGGAAUGGCGCCUCGCAGAAAGGCGGAUCGCGUAAUCCUCGUGAUCUGUGCCUCCGGAUGGGACCGCGUCCGAUCAGGUAGUUGGUGGGGUAACGGCCCACCAAGCCUAAGACCGGUACGGGCCCUGAGAGGGGUAGCCCGGAGAUGGGGACUGAGACAAGGCCCUAGGUCCUACGGGGCGCAGCAUGGUCGAAACUUCUGCAAUGCGCGAAAGCGCGACAGAGUCAUCCCGAGUGCCAUCCGCUGAGGGUGGUUUUUCUCCAGUGCAAAAAGCUGGAGGAAUAAGGGGGGGGCAAGUCGGGUGUCAGCCGCCGCGGUAAUACCCGCUCCCCGAGUGGUGGGGACGAUUAUUGGGCUUAAAGCGCCCGUAGCCGUCCCUGUGUGUUUCAUGUUAAAUCCGACAGCCUAACUGUCGGGCUGCAUGAAAUACUGCAGGGAUAGGAGGCGGGGGAGGUCGCCGGUACUCCUAGGGUAGGGGCAAAAUCCUCUGAUCCUGGGAAGACCACCAGUGGCGAAGGCGGGCGGCCAAAACGCGCUCGACGGUGAGGGGCGAAAGCUGGGGGAGCGAUCCGGAUUAGAUACCCGGGUAGUCCCAGCUGUAAACGAUGCGGGCUAGUCGUCGGGGUAGGCAUGUCCUUCCCCGGUGACGCAGGAAACCAGUAAGCCCGCCGCCUGGGGAGUACGGCCGCAAGGCUGAAACUUAAAGGAAUUGGCGGGGGAGCACCACAAGGGUGAAGCUUGCGGUUUAAUU
rnacentral:rRNA from 1 species